rnacentral:tRNA from 1 species
CAAAAGCCCCCCGCUUACACCGAGAAGUUAUCUGUUCAACCCAGAUCAUUUUGA